UACGUAGGGGGCUAGCGUUGUCCGGAAUCAUUGGGCGUAAAGCGCGUGUAGGCGGCCCGGUAAGUCCGCUGUGAAAGUCGGGGGCUCAACCCUCGGAUGCCGGUGGAUACUGUCGGGCUUGAGUACGGAAGAGGCGAGUGGAAUUCCUGGUGUAGCGGUGAAAUGCGCAGAUAUCAGGAGGAACACCGGUGGCGAAAGCGCGAUACUGGGCCAUAACUGACGCUGAGGAACGAAAGCCAGGGGAGCGAAAGGG
rnacentral:rRNA from 1 species